UGGACCGGGGUGAUUGGAUAGGGGUACUUGGACGGUGGGAGGUAGGGACGCUGGUCUUAAUCCCGGUAGUUGUCGCUCAUCAGGGAUGGAUGGCCCAUGGUUAGAAAGCGCUGCCGCACCAGCACCGGCUUGACUGACAUGCAUGGUCGCCGCUGCCUCUAGGCUCCGGGAUGUCGGAUUAGGCUGCUGCGAUUUCAUGCCAUAUUCUGCACGCCAUUGAUCCACAUUCCACAAUAGUGAGCGGAACAGGCGUCUGUUCCAGGGCGAGAUGCUCUCCAAGGCUGCGCUGGGGAGGAGGAUCAGGGAGGAGAUUAGCCUUUGGAACAUGGCGGGAGCGGGGAUCCCUUUUGACCCGGGCUGAGUCUUGUGUUUCUUCUCUUUUUUCUUCCUCUUGCACCUUUUUCUUUUCUGGUGCUUGACCCUCUUGGGUUUCCUGCUGUACUUGGUUUUGCCCCUUUGAUCAAUGAAUUUGGUGGAGCAACUACCAACAUUAAAAAAAACUGUAUGGAAGUGGAUUUGUGGUAGCA